rnacentral:rRNA from 1 species
AAUCACUUGUCUUUUAAAUGAAGACCCGUAUGAAUGGCACAACGAGGGCCUAACUGUCUCCUUUUUCAAGUCAAUGAAAUUGAUCUCCCCGUGCAGAAGCGGGGAUAANNCCAUAAGACGAGAAGACCCUAUGGAGCUUUAGANNCNAAAACAGACUUUGUUAAACACCCCUAGAUACAGGGCAUAACCAAAAGGACCCUGCUCUGAUGUCUUUGGUUGGGGCGACCGCGGGGAAUGCAAAUCCCNAUGUGGACUGGGAGAACCUCUCCUACAGCCAAGNGCUACAGCUCUAAGCAAUAGAACUUCUAACCUAAAGAUCCGCAAAGCCGAUCAACGAACCGAGUUACCCUAGGGAUAACAGCGCAAUCCCCUUCUAGAGCCCA